rnacentral:piRNA from 1 species
UGGUUUUUUAAUUGAGCCAGUUUAAGUGGU